rnacentral:lncRNA from 1 species
CAAAACCAUUUUAGCUCCACUCCUGGAAGAGAUUUGUUUCGCUUUUCACUCUCAAAUCAACUGUCUCAGAUUGACAGACCAAGAAUCAAUCAGCGGUGAAGGCUGUCUGAACUACCCAAUCAAGUGCGCUGAGGGGGAGGGCACUUCCGGUGUCAUGGCGCCGCACUGAGUGCUGAGACUGAUUUGAUGAGGGGGUCACGCUGACUAGUCCAAACCGCCUUUUUCUGUGAUUUCUGCUGGCUGUGCGCUGCGUUGGAAGGAUCCUGGGAGACCUCAAGCACGCAAUGGCGGAGGUGACUCUCCCCGGGUGUGCAGUGAGCAGGGAUUUUGGAGGACCCUGGGAUCAUUCCUCAGUGAUGGAGAAGUCAUCGCUUCAGUUUCUCACGUGAGACCUUUACUUCCAACAUUAUUAUUGCAUAAACAGGACUCGUGGUCUCACAGCUCUUUGCAAUGAGGUCGCGAACCCAAAGAAGGGAGUCAGGAAGGAUUUUAUUGGAAAUAAGACUACCUCCGUGAUUUCCAGAAGUGACCUGAGUGAGUAGCACGGACCUCUCAAUCCAGAGCUAAUUAUAGAUAAGCAGAGCCCGGGCAAUGCUCAGUGAUUCUUGGACAUCUAUCACAGAGGGCUCUGGAUUUAAAACAGCAUUUUAAAUGCACGAACUGUAGCCCAUUUCCUUACCAUGCACCUGUUAAAUCGAAACUGGAAUUUUAAAAAAAAACACCGGGUAUUUUGUAUUUUCAGUUUCUGGAAAUCAGGGCACUUGGUAGAGUAGCCCCAACUCCUUUGGGAGAGGAGGCUGCAUUCUGUCGUGUAAUUGGUUAUUUUCAGUUUAAUUCUUAGCACAGUAGCUCAUUUGCCAACUCUGUGUCAGGCUCUUCC